rnacentral:lncRNA from 1 species
AGGAGAAGAGGUGCUCGGAGGAAAGGGUGGGGGCUGCUGAUGUAAUGGGGAGAAGUGAUUAAUCCUUCGGUUCGCCGUUUGAGCCUCCCCCCCACACCCGAUUUUUUAAGCAGAAAAAAAAAAGUGGAGCGAGGGAGCCGAUCUUUGGUAAUUUGGUUUUCUGUGGUAGAAACUCUUAGGAGGACCAGCUCAACUCUCAGGGGUCCCAGGGAUUUACGGUGAGGAGCGGUGGUAAUAACUGAGGGAGCUGCUAAUCUCUCGCAGUUGGACAAUCCUGGCUGAACAAAGGUUUGAUUAUUAAGCCCAGUUGUUAAAGAGAGAAUAAAUAAUGGGGUAUAUGGGGAUUGUUCAGCUUCUCUUCCUGCAUUUCUGCCAGAGCUCGUGAAGGGAGAAACUUCCACCCAAGCUUUUGCCUCUACCUACCCUCUUGUUAGAUGCUCCAUAUGGAAGAAGUGACUAGUCUGGUCAGAGACUCUGGGGACAUUCUCUAGAGGGAGGGAUCAUGACAUUGAAAGACACUCACUUUUCUUUCUUACAGGUCCAAUGCCUGCUUUUUCAUUUCCUACCCCUAGAAGCAGUGGGUGGUUUUGCACAUAAUUCUCUCCAUGUAGUAAAGCAAAUCAAGGGGGAGUUGGAAGUAGGUGGGCUACCUCUGGUAAGGAGGCCUAAUCCUCCUCCUCUCCCAUUUCAGUUCCCAACUCUGUGGGUCUGGCAGGCCAACUCUGUCCUGGCACCUGGUCAGGUAAAUCACCAAUCAUAUUGUUAUAAUCCACAUAAUUUGUGUUCUGUUGACACUAAUGACAAGAUAUACAACGUUUCUUGAAUCAACGUACUUAUUAGUUUUUUAUCUUUUUAUUACGGAAAAUUUCAAACAUUUACAAACAUAGAGGAUAAAAAACUCCAUGUACCUAUCAUCCAGCUUCAACAAUUGUUAACCCUUGGUUGAGCUUGCUUCAUCUAUACUCCCCAACUCUCUAAACCCAAUUAUUUUGAUGCAAAUCCUAGAUAUCAUUCUAUCCGUGAAUGUUAUCAAUAUGCAUCUCUAGAAAAAAGGAUUUCCUAAAAAAUUAACCUUAGUACUAUUGUCACAUGAAAAAAUAAUUCCUUAAUAUCAGAUGUUUUAAAAAUUUGUUUCAAUAAAAUUGGAAAAGUUUUAUUCAGCUGAGGCAGUAGCAACCAGAAUUGUUAGCAAAAUUUCUCAACAUUUAUAUUUGGAAAUGAACCAUGAAUUUUACAUAUUAAUUUCAAACAUUUUAAUGGGAUUGCAAUAAUGAUCAUUACCA